UGCGCAGGCGGACUAUUAAGUCAGUGGUGAAAUCUCCCGGCUCAACCGGGAAACUGCCAUUGAUACUGAUAGUCUUGAGUAUAGUUGUAGUGGGCGGAAUAUAGCAUGUAGCGGUGAAAUGCUUAGAUAUGCUAUAGAACACCGAUCGCGAAGGCAGCUCACUAAACUAUAACUGACGCUCAGGCACGAAAGCGUGGGGAGCAAACAGGAUUAGAUACCCUGGUAGUC
rnacentral:rRNA from 1 species